UACGUAGGGUGCAAGCGUUGUCCGGAAUUAUUGGGCGUAAAGAGCUCGUAGGUGGCUCGGUAAGUCGGGUGUGAAAUUUCGAGGCUCAACCUCGAAACGCCACCUGAUACUGCUGUGGCUAGAGUCCGGUAGGGGAGCGUGGAAUUCCUGGUGUAGCGGUGAAAUGCGCAGAUAUCAGGAGGAACACCAAUGGCGAAGGCAGCUCGCUGGGACGUGACUGACGCUGAGACGCGAAAGCGUGGGGAGCAAACAGG
rnacentral:rRNA from 1 species